rnacentral:rRNA from 1 species
UGUCAGGCGGGAUUACCCGCUGAAUUUAAGCAUA